GAUUAAGUUAUUAAGGGCGCACGGUGGAUGCCUUGGCACUAGAAGCCGAUGAAGGACGUUACUAACGACGAUAUGCUUUGGGGAGCUGUAAGUAAGCUUUGAUCCAGAGAUUUCCGAAUGGGGAAACCCAGCAUGAGUUAUGUCAUGUUAUCGAUAUGUGAAUACAUAGCAUAUCAGAAGGCACACCCGGAGAACUGAAACAUCUUAGUACCCGGAGGAAGAGAAAGAAAAUUCGAUUCCCUUAGUAGCGGCGAGCGAAACGGGAAGAGCCCAAACCAACAAGCUUGCUUGUUGGGGUUGUAGGACACUCUAUACGGAGUUACAAAGGACGACAUUAGACGAAUCAUCUGGAAAGAUGAAUCAAAGAAGGUAAUAAUCCUGUAGUCGAAAAUGUUGUCUCUCUUGAGUGGAUCCUGAGUACGACGGAGCACGUGAAAUUCCGUCGGAAUCUGGGAGGACCAUCUCCUAAGGCUAAAUACUCUCUAGUGACCGAUAGUGAACCAGUACCGUGAGGGAAAGGUGAAAAGCACCCCGGAAGGGGAGUGAAAUAGAACCUGAAACCGUGUGCUUACAAGUAGUCAGAGCCCGUUAAUGGGUGAUGGCGUGCCUUUUGUAGAAUGAACCGGCGAGUUACGAUUUGAUGCAAGGUUAAGCAGUAAAUGUGGAGCCGUAGCGAAAGCGAGUCUGAAUAGGGCGUUUAGUAUUUGGUCGUAGACCCGAAACCAGGUGAUCUACCCUUGGUCAGGUUGAAGUUCAGGUAACACUGAAUGGAGGACCGAACCGACUUACGUUGAAAAGUGAGCGGAUGAACUGAGGGUAGCGGAGAAAUUCCAAUCGAACCUGGAGAUAGCUGGUUCUCUCCGAAAUAGCUUUAGGGCUAGCCUCAAGUGAUGAUUAUUGGAGGUAGAGCACUGUUUGGACGAGGGGCCCCUCUCGGGUUACCGAAUUCAGACAAACUCCGAAUGCCAAUUAAUUUAACUUGGGAGUCAGAACAUGGGUGAUAAGGUCCGUGUUCGAAAGGGAAACAGCCCAGACCACCAGCUAAGGUCCCAAAAUAUAUGUUAAGUGGAAAAGGAUGUGGCGUUGCCCAGACAACUAGGAUGUUGGCUUAGAAGCAGCCAUCAUUUAAAGAGUGCGUAAUAGCUCACUAGUCGAGUGACACUGCGCCGAAAAUGUACCGGGGCUAAACAUAUUACCGAAGCUGUGGAUUGUCCUUUGGACAAUGGUAGGAGAGCGUUCUAAGGGCGUUGAAGCAUGAUCGUAAGGACAUGUGGAGCGCUUAGAAGUGAGAAUGCCGGUGUGAGUAGCGAAAGACGGGUGAGAAUCCCGUCCACCGAUUGACUAAGGUUUCCAGAGGAAGGCUCGUCCGCUCUGGGUUAGUCGGGUCCUAAGCUGAGGCCGACAGGCGUAGGCGAUGGAUAACAGGUUGAUAUUCCUGUACCACCUAUAAUCGUUUUAAUCGAUGGGGGGACGCAGUAGGAUAGGCGAAGCGUGCGAUUGGAUUGCACGUCUAAGCAGUAAGGCUGAGUAUUAGGCAAAUCCGGUACUCGUUAAGGCUGAGCUGUGAUGGGGAGAAGACAUUGUGUCUUCGAGUCGUUGAUUUCACACUGCCGAGAAAAGCCUCUAGAUAGAAAAUAGGUGCCCGUACCGCAAACCGACACAGGUAGUCAAGAUGAGAAUUCUAAGGUGAGCGAGCGAACUCUCGUUAAGGAACUCGGCAAAAUGACCCCGUAACUUCGGGAGAAGGGGUGCUCUUUAGGGUUAACGCCCAGAAGAGCCGCAGUGAAUAGGCCCAAGCGACUGUUUAUCAAAAACACAGGUCUCUGCUAAACCGUAAGGUGAUGUAUAGGGGCUGACGCCUGCCCGGUGCUGGAAGGUUAAGAGGAGUGGUUAGCUUCUGCGAAGCUACGAAUCGAAGCCCCAGUAAACGGCGGCCGUAACUAUAACGGUCCUAAGGUAGCGAAAUUCCUUGUCGGGUAAGUUCCGACCCGCACGAAAGGCGUAACGAUUUGGGCACUGUCUCAACGAGAGACUCGGUGAAAUCAUAGUACCUGUGAAGAUGCAGGUUACCCGCGACAGGACGGAAAGACCCCGUGGAGCUUUACUGUAGCCUGAUAUUGAAAUUCGGCACAGCUUGUACAGGAUAGGUAGGAGCCUUUGAAACGUGAGCGCUAGCUUACGUGGAGGCGCUGGUGGGAUACUACCCUAGCUGUGUUGGCUUUCUAACCCGCACCACUUAUCGUGGUGGGAGACAGUGUCAGGCGGGCAGUUUGACUGGGGCGGUCGCCUCCUAAAAGGUAACGGAGGCGCUCAAAGGUUCCCUCAGAAUGGUUGGAAAUCAUUCAUAGAGUGUAAAGGCAUAAGGGAGCUUGACUGCGAGACCUACAAGUCGAGCAGGGUCGAAAGACGGACUUAGUGAUCCGGUGGUUCCGCAUGGAAGGGCCAUCGCUCAACGGAUAAAAGCUACCCCGGGGAUAACAGGCUUAUCUCCCCAAGAGUUCACAUCGACGGGGAGGUUUGGCACCUCGAUGUCGGCUCAUCGCAUCCUGGGGCUGUAGUCGGUCCCAAGGGUUGGGCUGUUCGCCCAUUAAAGCGGUACGCGAGCUGGGUUCAGAACGUCGUGAGACAGUUCGGUCCCUAUCCGUCGUGGGCGUAGGAAAUUUGAGAGGAGCUGUCCUUAGUACGAGAGGACCGGGAUGGACAUACCUCUGGUGUACCAGUUGUCGUGCCAACGGCAUAGCUGGGUAGCUAUGUGUGGACGGGAUAAGUGCUGAAAGCAUCUAAGCAUGAAGCCCCCCUCAAGAUGAGAUUUCCCAACUUCGGUUAUAAGAUCCCUCAAAGAUGAUGAGGUUAAUAGGUUCGAGGUGGAAGCAUGGUGACAUGUGGAGCUGACGAAUACUAAUCGAUCGAAGACUUAAUCAA
rnacentral:rRNA from 1 species